GGUCUGUAGUCUUGGAGCGGUGCUGGGUUGGUGGUACCCUAGAGCACACCAGACUUGCAGAGAAAGCAUUCUCCAGAGGAAGCUGAGGCAUGGCUGCUCAAGGGACAGCAGUACCAUGUGCAAUUUUCCUCUGAUAGUUUCCGAGUACUGUUGCCACGGUGAUAAUGGCUGUGCCAUGUCAUUAUCUAUCAACCGACAGUAAAAGAAGGUUUUGCAGUCAGAUGUUGUUUAACAGAUGGAGUGGUUUCUGUUGGACACUAAGUACUGCUACAAAU
ensembl:scaRNA